CCUACGUGCGGCAGCAGUGGGGAAUAUUGGACAAUGGGGGGAACCCUGCUCCAGCGACGCCGCGUGAGUGAAGAAGUAUUUCGGUAUGUAAAGCUCUAUCAGCAGGGAAGAAAGAAAUGACGGUACCUGACUAAGAAGCCCCGGCUAACUACGUGCCAGCAGCCGCGGUAAUACGUAGGUGGCAAGCGUUAUCCGGAUUUAUUGGGUGUAAAGGGCGUGUAGGCGGGAGCGGAAGUCAGAUGUGAAAACUCAGGGCUCAACCCUGAGCCUGCAUUUGAAACUGUGGUUCUUGAGUGCUGGAGAGGCAAUCGGAAUUCCGUGUGUAGCGGUGAAAUGCGUAGAUAUACGGAGGAACACCAGUGGCGAAGGCGGAUUGCUGGACAGUAACUGACGCUGAGGCGCGAAAGCGUGGGGAGCAAACAGGAUUAGAUACCCUUGUAGUC
rnacentral:rRNA from 1 species